rnacentral:rRNA from 1 species
CCUAGGGAGGCUGCAGUGGGGAAUAUUGGACAAUGGGCGAAAGCCUGAUCCAGCCAUGCCGCGUGUGUGAAGAAGGCCUUCGGGUUGUAAAGCACUUUCAGUGGGGAAGAAAGCCUUGGGGCUAAUACCCUCGAGGAAGGACAUCACCCACAGAAGAAGCACCGGCUAACUCCGUGCCAGCAGCCGCGGUAAUACGGAGGGUGCGAGCGUUAAUCGGAAUUACUGGGCGUAAAGCGCGCGUAGGCGGUCUGAUAAGCCGGUUGUGAAAGCCCCGGGCUCAACCUGGGAACGGCAUCCGGAACUGUCAGGCUAGAGUGCAGGAGAGGAAGGUAGAAUUCCCGGUGUAGCGGUGAAAUGCGUAGAGAUCGGGAGGAAUACCAGUGGCGAAGGCGGCCUUCUGGACUGACACUGACGCUGAGGUGCGAAAGCGUGGGUAGCAAACAGGAUUAGAUACCCCUGUAGUC